rnacentral:rRNA from 1 species
UACGGAGGGAGCUAGCGUUGUUCGGAAUUACUGGGCGUAAAGCGCACGUAGGCGGCUUUGUAAGUUAGAGGUGAAAGCCCGGAGCUCAACUCCGGAACUGCCUUUAAGACUGCAUCGCUUGAAUCCAGGAGAGGUGAGUGGAAUUCCGAGUGUAGAGGUGAAAUUCGUAGAUAUUCGGAAGAACACCAGUGGCGAAGGCGGCUCACUGGACUGGUAUUGACGCUGAGACGCGAAAGCGUGGGGAGCAAACAGG